rnacentral:lncRNA from 1 species
UUGGUGUGAGCGCACAGCUGAGCCAGCUGCAGACAGAGGAGAGCUGUUGAUGCUCCUGAUGUCUCCCAGAGGCAGCUGGCAACGACCUGGGUCAGCACAAGCCGCUCGUUAUCUUGAUCUCUGUUGGCAGUUCUGAGGCACAAUCCCUGAUUCACUUCUUCCCUUUAGAAGGACAGAACACAAGGGAGCAGAGCUACAGGGAGCAGGGCGUGAACCUGAGCAGGGAGACGGAGCAGAAGGUGAAGAUCCUCCACAUAGAGUGUGGCGAUUGUCUGUAACAGUAACUUAAGAUGUGGAAGGAGCCAGAACUGUCUCCAAGGCUUGGGUCUCCUGAUGAGGAAUUUCUUGAAACAACAGCAGAGGUAAUGACAAUAUGUAGUUUGGUUGUGUGACAUUUGUCCCCCUUUCUGUUUUUGUUUUUUGCUUGCUUGUUUUUGUUUUGUUCUGUUUUCGGCAAAGCCUUACACUGUAGCCUAAGGUGACUUUAAAUUUACAGCAAUCCUCCCCCUUCAGCCCUUGAAGUGCUUGAAUUACAAGUAUCAGUCAUACUUGGCUUUUAAAAGCUAUUUUCAAAAUUCAUUCAAGCAUAUUAAUUGAUUUGUACAUUUUACGUUUUGUUGUUGUUGUUGUUGUUGUUGUUGUUGAAAACAGAAAGCAAAAUUAUUCCUAAGAAACCAGUAACUGUUUAAUAAAAGAAACAUAAUUUUCAGACUUUAUUUUGUUUUUAAAAAUGUUUAAGUGGCUCAUUUCUCCCAUAUGGUCUAAUACCGUGGUCAAGGUCAGUUUCAUCAGCCGGUUCUUUUGGAAUCACAUGAGAUUUUUCUGGAAAAUGGACAUCAGCUGGAGGUAGGUCUGUUAAAAGUUCUCAAGGAGGCCUGCUGGUCCUAGUGGAGAACUCUCUUAUGGUGGGGACAUGUGCAAUGAAGUUAAAUGACCAUGCCUUGCUGGUGGCCAGAACAGGAUGCUUGCUAACCUGUCUCUCCAGCUUGCUCUCGUCCUGGAGCUGUCCUGUGUCUCAGAUAGUCAUAGGUUGUGGUUCUGGAAGCCACAUUCUCACUGCACACUCACCGACACAUGGAUUCGUCAUCGGAGGCCUACGGAAUUCCAUCCUGUCAUUGUAUUUGAGGCCCAAGACAUUUCUACCUUCCCAAUCUCUAGCAAUGCAACUAGCUUCUGGUGAGAUUCCCACUCCUGAUAGCCAUGCAAUGGAUAGAAUAAUCCCCUCCUUGUAUGUGGGAGAUGAACCCAAUAACCCCAUUUCAAUGUAUGUAAUUCAGCAAGGAUGAUGGGUAUCAUGAGAGUGGACUAUAAAAGACUAUGUUUUCCAUCUUCUUUAUUCAUUCAUUCUCUGACUCUUCUCACAUGCUUGCUGUGAUUAUAGCGAGUUGGGGACAUUCACACGGCAAGAAGCUGGGGGCAGCCUCCGACCACCGCCAAUGGAGCACGACCCUUAUCCCAGUGUCUAGCAGAACUGAAUGCCUCCAAAAAGGACAUGGGGGAAGCUUAGACGCGAUCCUGCUCCAGUGGCACCUUCAGAUGACAUCAUGUCUGACACCCUGACUGUAGCCUUCUGAGAAACCUGGAGCUGGAUUCACAAGUGAGCUGUGUCCAGGUGAAGGUAGUCAGUUACUUAGGGAGGAGCCUACUGCCCCAGCCACAUAUGCCUCCGGAUACCCUUUCCUCUGCUGGACGACUGCUGCUCCAGUCUGAUCUUGAUCCCGAGUUCUUCUGGGAGUGAGUGCUCCUUUCAUUCUUCUGCCUCGCUCAUCUGGUGCUCCCAAGCUAGGCUCAGAGCCACGUGGUCUUCUUCUGUGUGCCUGACCUGGAUUCCUGACCUAGAGCCUGAUUGCUGCAUUUCUGAUCUGAUCUGGGCGCAUGGGAUGGAACUUGGCAGACAUGCCUGGUCCUCAUAGGGAGAUGUGAGUGUAUCAGCUCCGAGCAAGAUUGCCAGCUGGCACCGCCACCCAGUGGCACAGCGGUGAGUCACAGAAGCUGCAAGGAGUGGGAUGUGGGGCUGAGAAUCAGUUUCCAGGCUCCCAGCAAUUAGAAGCAGGCCAUUGACUUGGGGCCAAGAGAAAAGAGCAAAAGUCCUGUUUCCUGGCGCCCUGGGGCUUCCACACACUCAUGCCAACCUGCUUGCCCUCUGCUCCCAUGAUUGCUUUCUGUGGACACUAUUUUGGAGUGAUGGCUAGACUCAGCUGUUUUAGCUUCAGAACAAGGCUUACUACCCAAGGACAGGUUGGGCUUAGACAAACAAAACCGUUGUAGCCUGUGAGCAGGAUCGUUAUCUCCUCAAAGAGAUGGAACUAUAACAAGCCUGUCUGCAGUUAUUGCAAACGCUGAAACACCGCCUGCCUGGAAGUCUCUGCAUAAGGGCACCCCCAGGAAUGCCUCUGUGCAGACAGCGUCUACUCUCCUGCCUCUGUAGCUGUACCACAGUGUGUGGAUAAACUCUACUUCCGCUUUCACGUCCUGGCCCUGGCCAAGGCUACACUUUGGACGGACAUGAAAGCAAUGGAGAAGCUGGACGGUUUUUACAUUUUACAGCCCGUGAUGGGAACAUGGAUUCCACAAUGGGUGACUACCAGAGAUACUGCAAUCUUACAUCAAGGCCAAUACUGCCCCAGGACAUGAUGGGCUCAGAGCAAAGAUGCUGUUGCCUCUGAGAAGAACCACUUUUGUUAGAAAGUGGUAACUGUAAGAACCUCUAGCUUCAGUUAUUCCAGGGCACUGUGAAAUGGAGACAGUGACUAACAGCCUGUGUAGAUCCUGCUCCCAGAAAACAGAUCUCUGAAUACCUCUAAACAGACACUAUAUAACUGUCUGGACCACUGUAGCUAUGCCACAGUGUGAUACACUCUUUACUUCAGCCCUUUUGACUUGUUGGAUCUUUUUGCUACACACACAAUUAGCCUGUCAUCACUGUUUCCCAGCAUGAUGUUUUUAAAUCAUAAAUACUUUAAAGUAUGUAUCGAGGGGCUGGAGAGAUGGCUCAGUGGUUAAGUGCACUUCCAGAGGUCUUGAGUUCAAUUCCCAGCAACCACAUGGUGGCUCACAACCAUCUAUCCUGGGAUCUUUAUACCCUCUUCUGGCAUGCAGGUGUGCGUGCAGAUAGAGCACUCAUAUACAUGGAAUAAAUAAAUCUAAAAAAGUAUUUAUUUAGUAGCUGAACUUCAUAUACAUUAUGUGGACCAGAAGAACCUGGGUACAAAAUAAUAAAUAUUGUACUCUUCAUUCAGAUGACAGCCUGGACCUAAACAAGUGAAGCCCUCCCUGCAGGAUGAAAGAGUCCUAUGAGUUGAACAUGGUUGGUAGGGAAUCACUGGGAAAGAGACAUGAAGUUUCCAGUGUGAGGGGAAUGUGCUAUGUCACAAAGUGGGGGUGAGUUGCAUAGUGCAUUUGCCAGUGGUACAUGCCAAACUUUGUUACUUUUAUGGCCUUUGAUAUAUGUAAACUUUACCUCCAAUAAAACUGCAAACCAAAACAAACAAACAAACAAACACCCCACUUGAUUGGAAGAGGGACGUGGGUGUGGAUGCAGACAUAGAGAAAGCAAGGACAAAAAAUAGUGACCAUCACUAAAGCUGGGUGACUGGAACCUAGGAGCUCAUUUGUUUUCCAUAGUAAGAAGAAACUCUUCAACAAGGUCACACCUCCUAAUAGUGCCCCUCCCUACAAGCCUAUGGAAGCCAUUUUCUUUCAUAUAUAUAUAUGUGUGUGUGUGUGUGUGUGUGUGUGUGUGUGUAUGUGUAUAUGUGUGUGUGUGUAUAUAUAUAUAUAUGUAUAUACAUACAUAUAUACAUAUACAUAUGGUUGCACUUUUAACUUGAAUACAUAUAUUUGUAUUUAUGUAUAAAUACAUAUAAGGGAUUUCUUUUUAAGGCACUGAGCUAGAUGUUUAGAGGAUAUGCUCUUUUGUGAAGGACGUAGGAUUAGAUAUAAAUGUAAGUGUGUUUUUCAGCUAUUUAUUUUUGCAAUUUAAUCAUUCAAUGUGUUCCUUGUUGAAGAGAUCCUUAUCUACAUAACCAGACCUCUGUGUUCCUGAGUUCUGUACCCAUUAGUGUAAACUACUAUGGACUGAACACAUUAAAGGAAAAGAUUGUAUCUGUCCUGAAUGUGGAUAGACUUUGAAUUGUCAAUUACUCCCCGAACAACAUAGAAUAAAAUCAUUUGCAUUGCAUACAGCAUUGUAAGUGAUCUAGGGAUGGUUUAAAAUAUCUAGAAAGAGGCCCAAUAGUCACCUGCAAGCGCUGUGUCAUUUUAUCUGAGACGUGAACACUGAUGGAUUUUGCUAUCGGUAGAAGCUCCUGGAACUGUCUUUGCACCUUUGACCUGAUGCACACAAUUCAAAUGCCGGCUGCCUGGAGGGGAAGCUUCUAGUCUGAAGGAAUUGUUGAAAGCUGAACUGCGUCGGGACUUGGAGAACCAUUUCUGUGAUGCAUUCAUUAAAAAUGAGCAAGGGACUUCAGCUAUGCGUUACAGAGCAGAAUAAAAAUGAUCUCAUGUAAAUAGUAUAUAUAUACAUUCCAGUGUAUAUAUAUAUAUACCAGUGCUUUCUGGACUGAACGGGUUGUUUUCCUGGGUGACUGAGCCCAGCACUAAGACUGUCAGAGGGGCCGCUGGGGACUUCAGUGCUUGGAUUAAACAGGGCAUCAGUUGCUUGAAUCCCACUGAUAAGAACAACAUUCUUCCAUGCUAGACUCAGCAAUGAAAACAAACAAGCCUAUGGCAUCAACUGCGUACAUCAGGAAGAAUGGUUAACUCUGGCUUUCUUCAAUGCCAUCUCUGUUGUCUCUGAAAUUUCCUAGUUGGCUAUGAAAAUUAUUAUUUCAAAUCUUUGCGAUAUUUUUAGCGCAAAGGCAAUUAUGAAAGAAAACAGGGAAUCCGUGGCUCUUCUCCAUUUAACCCAGAGAACAUAACUUAUGGGUUCUUGUUAUGAAUCAAAGGCUGUCAUCCCUUCAAAACAGGUGACUUAGCAGACCCAAGUCAGGAGGUACAUACUGAUAGGAAGGCCAAGAAUGUACUAAGAGGAAUUUAUUCUUUGUAAAAAAAAAAAAUAAU